CAGAAAAUUGUGAAAAUGAUGGUUAGUAGUUUUUUAUUUAUACCUAGUUAUCAUAAAUGAUUUAAGAUAAAUAUUAUUGAUAAAGAACAGCAAAAAUUCAAUGAAAUUUUUCGCUUUUAAAAUGCAUUACUGGCACGGGGCUGAACACUUUUUUUAGGCACAAUCAUAACUUUGUUUACCCCCGAGAGAUCCGAAAGGAAUUGUUUAUUCAAUUGAAAAGGCAAGAAAAAA
rnacentral:lncRNA from 1 species